UCCUCAAUAUAUUUCCCCCUCGCCUCCAUCUUUUCGUUAGACGAAGGAGGAAGAGAUCUCAAGGAGGAACCCUUGCCUGCAUCUCUCCAGCCGCCACCGUAAGGAUCCCCUGCUCAUCAAAGAUCCGAUCCAUGGCCGUGUGCCUCCGCCAGGUUCGUGCCGCAUUAAAUCCAUCUCGUUUACCUGUUAUACCAGUACGGCCAGCCGGUGAAGGCGGCGCCGCCGUUGCCGUCGCUGUCCACGACGAAGAUGUAGGGGUUGCUACUGCCUGCGGGUGAUGCGGUGGGUGUGUGCUAGUGCGGUUGGUGUUAUACUUGGUCCAGGCAGUCCCGUGGAUCCAUCUCGUGUAGAACACCAGCAGCCUCCUGUUGUCGACAAUCCGCAUACUGUGAAAAGCUCGAUAUUUGUUCAUUAUCUACUGCUUAUCUUUUCUACUUCUGUAACUCUUCCAGCGAUAGGAAGGUAUGGCCUGGAAUAAGCGGGGAAUUUAGGCGCUAGUACUCUUUUCCAUCACACCGUGGUAUCGGUAUCAAUCAGAUUAAUUUACGUGCUAUUUAGCUUAUUGAAUCACGAGUCAUCUUUCCAGUAUAGAAAGGCUGACUCAUACUGCAUUCCUGUAUGAAAGAUAUUAUGUCGAGUAUAUCUCGAUGACUGCGAAAGAUCAAUUUUUUAGAACAAGAAGUAGAAAAUCUAGAGCACAGUGGUCCUCCGGAGAUUGAUGAUAUGUUACCAGGGAUGCCUCAUGAAUCAACUACCCCAAUUAAGAUAAUAUGUAAAUUUUGCUAUAUUUUAUCCAAGAUACACAUGAUUGUCAUUUGCUACCAGUAUAUGCAGCGUUGUGCUUUUCCUACAUGCAGGGCCCAAUGUAGACAUGCGACAUAUAGUGGUGGCCUUUCAAAAUGUAAAUGGAAGCUACAGAAAUUAAUGAAGUUGACCUUCAUGAAAGAGCUGACGAUAUUAAUAUCCAAUGUGAAACAAAUAAUUAUAUUCAAGUGUCACUCUGCAAUAUGCACACUUCAUCAAAUAGUUUCCAGGAAUUGUUUCCUAAGAAGUGCACUAGAAUAAAGGAGAGCCUGCCAAUUCAUCAUCCCCACAUGACUACAUGAGCACAAAAUUGCUAAGGUAUGUUCACGGCUUUUCCUCAAUAACGACACUGGGACUAUUUGUUUAGGAUGAACUGAAUUGGUCUUCAACGGUGGGAAGCAAACCCAAAAAAUCAUGCUAAAAAACAUCAGGGCUGUCUCGAUUUGCAUUUGGUAUUAGUGUGGUUGUAUUGUUUUCUAAAAGUAAUAUUAUUGAUCACGUUUGUUCAUUCACAAUUGCAGCAACUGAGUUCUGAAAAUUAUGGCAAAUAGAGUUAUGCCAGUUCAUCUUUAGGACGUCGGCGCAUAACUUCUACGGUGCAAAAGAAAUUUUACUUUUCUCAUCGGACCAUAUCUAAACUUGGUAUUUUUUUCAUGUAUAGCUCAUAUGAUCCUUUGCCACAGAAAGAAACUGCAGUGAAGCUGAUUAAGGUUGUGACGUAUCAUCUUUCCCACAUAAUCAUCCUACUGAUAAGGUAUAAGCAAACAAGUUAGUUAAACCAAUGUGGUUUUGUUGUGCCAUACAGUAAUAGUGUCGUUUCUUAAAUGGUGUAUUUCUUCAAGUUGCAGGAUAAAUUUGAAGUCUAUUUGUUUUCAGCAAACCCGAGAAAUAAAAAUAAAGUUGUAGCGACAUGAUCUUUGAUUACUCAAGAUAAAACAUAUAUGGUCGGAGGAAACAUUCUUGGAGAUGAAUAUUGUGCAGUUCUUGUUAAUUGUACUACACCGAUUGCGGAUGAAAAAUUGCCUAGACCAUAUAAGGAUAUUGAAACUAUCAGAGAUGCUGUGGGUCAUGUUAUCGCUUGGCCUAGGUUCUGUUUAAGUACGUUUUCAUAUGUGCAAGCAUUACGUUUCUUUGUUAGUUUUAAUGCUUGCUUAUUUAUUUAUUAACUUUUGCGCUGUAGAUCAAAAGGAAGAAAUCAAGCUUAAACUAGACAAAUAAUAACCUGGUAUGUUACAUUCUUCCCUUUUUUCAUUUUAUGGGAAGGCUAAGGAAAUCUGCAAUAAUUUGGUUCGAAUAGCUGCAUCCAGCUAUGUUGUUGCUAGAGACCCAAGUGUUUGACUAAUUUUGCAAAACUUGUACUUUACAUACAUCAAUUGUUUCGAAUAGGACAAGUUACUAGUACCUUUUUUGCUCAUCCACUUGACAUUUAACUGUGCCUCUUCCAUUUCUUCUCUGCCUCGAACAUGCAAUUAUUGGUACUGUUGUCCAUUCCAUGUACAUGUGAGCAAAACCAUGGUGAGCGUGUUGAUUAAUCUUAGAUCCAUUUUUAUUUAAUCAACUGAACUCGUCAUCUGCUCUCUACUACUAGCUUAUUUCACAGAGUUUCUCACUUUGGUCGUGACUUGCUUUUCAGGUAAAAUCUGGAGCUAAUGACUCGAAUGAAAGACGAUGGGCAUUAGUUUCUGCCUCCAUAAAUCUAUAUGGAGGGAUAUUUACCAUCAUUUUUCAGAGAUAAUUGUAAUAUAGGGUGUUUAUGAUUUUUCAUGUCCGUGAUCUUUCCCCGUGUAUCUGUGUGAAUUAUUGAUACGGAUAUUCUAUUAAGUUUCAGAUUUCUUUUAGUAUUAAUAAAUUUAUU